rnacentral:rRNA from 1 species
GUGGGGAAUAUUGGACAAUGGGCGAAAGCCUGAUCCAGCCAUGCCGCGUGUGUGAAGAAGGUCUUCGGAUUGUAAAGCACUUUAAGUUGGGAGGAAGGGCAGUAAGUUAAUACCUUGCUGUUUUGACGUUACCGACAGAAUAAGCACCGGCUAACUUCGUGCCAGCAGCCGCGGUAAUACGAAGGGUGCAAGCGUUAAUCGGAAUUACUGGGCGUAAAGCGCGCGUAGGUGGUUCAGCAAGUUGGAGGUGAAAUCCCCGGGCUCAACCUGGGAACUGCCUCCAAAACUGCAUGACUAGAGUACGGUAGAGGGUAGUGGAAUUUCCUGUGUAGCGGUGAAAUGCGUAGAUAUAGGAAGGAACACCAGUGGCGAAGGCGACUACCUGGACUGAUACUGACACUGAGGUGCGAAAGCGUGGGGAGCAAACAGGAUUAGAUACCUGGGUAGUCC